GGUCGGGUGGUGUAGUUGGUUAUCACAUCUCGUUAACAGUUUACUGUGACAAUAAACCGAGAAGGUCCUGGGAUCGAACCCCAGCUUGAUCA
rnacentral:tRNA from 1 species